rnacentral:lncRNA from 1 species
GAAAGAAGGGAAGAAAAUACUGUUUUGUAUAUAGGAGCCAACUAAGAGAUCUCUGGAGUUCCAUAUUUCACAUCUGACAUUAUGAUUAAAUUACCCACUGUCUCUUUGGCUGCUAUAGGAUAUGAAAAAUUUUCGUGGAAAAAUAUAACGGAACUGCUUAAAACUGGGAUGCUCAUAAUUGGAAUUUACUAUUGCAGAAAAAUAUACAAGAAACUGGAUGACCUUCAGAAAAAAAUUGAAUAUUCUCUGGAUAAAACAGAGGAGCUUUCAGCCAUUGUCGGUGAUCUUCGGAAAAGACUUGAUAAGGGGGAACAGGAUAAAUAUAAGAUUAAACAGGAAAAAGGCAAGUCAAAAAUUGUUUUGUUUUGUUUUGUUUUGUUUUUUUGCCUGUUCUUAGUUGUUUCAUCUCUCACUUGCACCUUGAAAAAAAGCUGUCACUUUAUCUUACCUAAAUUCCAUCUUUUCCCAUUCUUACCUUUUAUCCACAGCAAUCUUCCCCUAAAACACUGGCCUCUUUUCAAUUGUUUUUCUCUUCUUUAUUUUUCACCCUCAGAUAAUAUUGCACAGGGAAAAGGCAAGUUAAUUUUUUUUUUUUUGCCUGUUCUUAGCUCUUGUUUCAUCUGUUACUUGCACCUUAAAAAGAAAGCUGUCAUUUUAUGUUACCUAAAUUCCAUCUUUUCCCUUUCUUACCUUUAUCCAUUCCAACCUUCCCCUAAAACAUUGGCUUCUUGUCAAUUGUUUUUCUCUUUCUUUUCUUCCUCAGAUAAUAUUGCACUGGAAAAAGGCAAGUCAAUUUUUUUUCACCUGUUCUUAUUUUAUCUGUUACUUGCACCUUAA